CCUACGGGAGGCAGCAGUAGGGAAUUUUCGUCAAUGGGCGCAAGCCUGAACGAGCAAUGCCGCGUGAACGAGGAAGGUCUUCGGAUCGUAAAGUUCUGUUGAAGGGGAAAAAGAGCGGAGAGAGGAAAUGGUCUCCGAUUGAUAUUACCCUUCGAGGCAGUCACGGCUAACUACGUGCCAGCAGCCGCGGUAAUACGUAGGUGGCGAGCGUUAUCCGGAAUGAUUGGGCGUAAAGGGUGCGUAGGCGGUCUGCUAAGUCUGGAGUGAAAGGUACCGGCUCAACCGGUACAGGCUCUGGAAACUGGCGGGCUAGAGAGCAGGAGAGGGCGGUGGAACUCCAUGUGUAGCGGUAAAAUGCGUAGAUAUAUGGAAGAACACCAGUGGCGAAGGCGGCCGCCUGGCCUGUGACUGACGCUGAGGCACGAAAGCGUGGGGAGCAAAUAGGAUUAGAUACCCGGGUAGUC
rnacentral:rRNA from 1 species